rnacentral:rRNA from 1 species
UACGUAGGGUGCGAGCGUUAAUCGGAAUUACUGGGCGUAAAGCGUGCGCAGGCGGUUGGUUAAGUCUGAUGUGAAAGCCCCGGGCUCAACCUGGGAAUGGCAUUGGAAACUGGCUGGCUAGAGUGUGGCAGAGGGGGGUGGAAUUCCGCGUGUAGCAGUGAAAUGCGUAGAGAUGCGGAGGAACACCGAUGGCGAAAGCGGCCACCUGGACUGCGCCUGACACUGAAACGCGAAAGCUAGGGGAGCGAACGGG